rnacentral:rRNA from 1 species
GUGGGGAAUUUUGGACAAUGGGCGCAAGCCUGAUCCAGCAAUGCCGCGUGCAGGAAGAAGGCCUUCGGGUUGUAAACUGCUUUUGUACGGAACGAAACGGUCCGGGUUAAUACCCUGGGCUAAUGACGGUACCGUAAGAAUAAGCACCGGCUAACUACGUGCCAGCAGCCGCGGUAAUACGUAGGGUGCAAGCGUUAAUCGGAAUUACUGGGCGUAAAGCGUGCGCAGGCGGUUUUGUAAGACAGGCGUGAAAUCCCCGGGCUCAACCUGGGAAUUGCGCUUGUGACUGCAAGGCUAGAGUGUGUCAGAGGGAGGUGGAAUUCCGCGUGUAGCAGUGAAAUGCGUAGAGAUGCGGAGGAACACCGAUGGCGAAGGCAGCCUCCUGGGAUAACACUGACGCUCAGGCACGAAAGCGUGGGGAGCAAACAGGAUUAGAUACCCGUGUAGUCC